GUCUUUUUGAUUAUAAUUUAAAGUCUGACCUGCCCACUGAGAUUUAAAUGGCCGCGGUAUUUUGACCGUGCAAAGGUAGCAUAAUCAUUAGUUUUUUAAUUGAAAGCUGGAAUGAAUGGUUGGAUAAGAAAAUAACUGUCUCAAUUUAAUUUUAUUAGAAUUUUAUUUUUAAGUUAAAAAGCUUAAAUAAUAUUAAAAGACGAGAAGACCCUAUAGAGUUUUAUAUAAUAAAAAAAUUAUUUGUUUAAAGAAUUGAAAUAGAUUAUUUUUUUAUUAUAUUUAAUUGGGGUGAUUAAAAAAUUUAAGGAACUUUUUUUUUAUUUGAACAAUAAUAAUUGAUUAAUUGAUCUUUAAUUUAAGAUUACAAGAAUAAAUUACCUUAGGGAUAACAGCGUAAUUUUUUUUGAGAGUUCAAAUCGAAAAAAGAGAUUGCGACCUCGAUGUUGGAUUAAAGAAAGUUUUUGGUGUAGAAGUUAAAUAACUAGGUCUGUUCGACCUUUAAAUCUUUACA
rnacentral:rRNA from 1 species